CGGGUUGGCGUCGCAGGCGGUGCGGGACCGCCCUCGCGUGUGGCGGUGGGACCCCGCUUGUUUUCCUGGCGGCCCGACUCUG
rnacentral:pre_miRNA from 1 species